GGUUGGCAGCUGUAUACAGCUGUUUCAAGAUUUGGCUUUAGGGUGGAGAGCU
rfam:Anaerocolumna jejuensis DSM 15929 genome assembly, contig: EJ31DRAFT_scaffold00002.2